AAACCUGCUCUGGACUGAAAACCCAGGCAAACACUGGGAGCUCACCCCUGGGGCCCGCCAGGCCCAGGAUGUGGCAGUUUCUGGUGCAGAAGGGACUGGUAAGAGACUGAGAGAGCUGAGCUAUACCCCACAAAAAGGACUUUCUGAAUUUGCCAUCUCUUCAGAACAGCAAGAGGGGGAAAUUUGAUCCAAAUAACGCAAUGUCCUGAGCUGAGGCUUGAGUCAAGUAUUCUGCCUUAUGCAUUAAGUCCAAGAACCACAGAAGUUAAAGACUUGAGAGACGUCUCCCAGAAAAAUACCGGAAAUUUCAUCCCCUAUAACUGCUAAACUGCAAGAGGAGAAUGGGGAACUGACAGAAUGGCCACAGCAUGACAACUGGGCACCCUUGGACCUCCUUUCCCUUUCUCUUCAGACUCUGCAACAGAGAUGCCGAGGAGACACACCACGGUGAUGGUCCCUAUGAUUCUGAUGUCGUUGGACUCGUC